AUUGAACGCUAGCGGCAGGCCUAACACAUGCAAGUCGAGCGGAUGACGGGAGCUUGCUCCUUGAUUCAGCGGCGGACGGGUGAGUAAUGCCUAGGAAUCUGCCUGGUAGUGGGGGAUAACGUUUCGAAAGGAACGCUAAUACCGCAUACGUCCUACGGGAGAAAGCAGGGGACCUUCGGGCCUUGCGCUAUCAGAUGAGCCUAGGUCGGAUUAGCUAGUUGGUGGGGUAAUGGCUCACCAAGGCGACGAUCCGUAACUGGUCUGAGAGGAUGAUCAGUCACACUGGAACUGAGACACGGUCCAGACUCCUACGGGAGGCAGCAGUGGGGAAUAUUGGACAAUGGGCGAAAGCCUGAUCCAGCCAUGCCGCGUGUGUGAAGAAGGUCUUCGGAUUGUAAAGCACUUUAAGUUGGGAGGAAGGGCAGUAAGUUAAUACCUUGCUGUUUUGACGUUACCGACAGAAUAAGCACCGGCUAACUCUGUGCCAGCCGCCGCCGUAAGAC
rnacentral:rRNA from 1 species